ACUCCUACGGGAGGCAGCAGUGGGGAAUUUUGGACAAUGGGGGAAACCCUGAUCCAGCCAUGCCGCGUGUAUGAAGAAGGCCUUCGGGUUGUAAAGUACUUUCAGCGGGGAGGAAGGGAGUAAGGUUAAUAACCUUAUUCAUUGACGUUACCCGCAGAAGAAGCACCGGCUAACUCCGUGCCAGCAGCCGCGGUAA
rnacentral:rRNA from 1 species